rnacentral:lncRNA from 1 species
UAUUCAGAAGGCCAUGAUAGAGAGGAAUCUUCUUGCUUGUUUGUUUUAACCUCCAUGGGUAAUUCUGAUGAGAAGCCAGGUUUAGGAAUCGCUAUAUUAAGUACUCAAAAGUCCCUUCUAACCUGGAGAGUGCAUGAUCUUCAGGUAACUGCGGGCUGCCAAGUGUGUCUCUUCAGUAGUAGUGGCGAGCAGCGUCUUUAGGAGGCGGAAAUGAAACCUAAGAAUGUGGGAAGAAUUUCUAAAUGGAAGGCCUAUUAAUAUGUAUGUAGACAAAUGAAUUUCCGGAAGCACUGCUUUUAAAUUUUUUCAAACAUUGUGCGACCUACUGGAAAGAGAUUACAGAACAACAGAGCUGCAAACCAAAUUAUUUCAGCCAUCAUUUCUACCACAGCUUGACAGAGUUGGGCUGCUGCAGAAACCAACUCAGGCUGAGAUGAACUAAGUCCCACUGCAGAGGGAAACUGGAGCCGAGAUUUCCAUCUCCAAAUGCUUAAUGCCUGAGCAGAGAAGCCUCUGGGCCAUUAUGACAAACCACUAUCAGCUGUUAUUACAUUGAUACUGCCUGGCGGAUCAAGGAAAUGAAGCUUUGUUCUAGCGUGUAUUACAGGAAGUCAUUCUUACCCAAAUGGAUAUUGCUAGCAAUGGACUCCUUAGGAAAAACUUCCCUGGAGGAGUGGCCUUAGAGCCACAGACCAGAGGCUCUCCUGGGCUUUUGACAGCGAACGAGAUGAAGGAACAGCCAAAGGCAAAAAGCCUCCCUCGUGGAAAACGGAACAAUUCUGGGAGAAGACACUGCCUGAGGGAUUUUACAAUCCUUUGUGAGUAAUAAAAGACUGGAAUGUGGAACAAUAAGUGAUAAAAAUAUGGCCACAAUCAAAGGCAUCUGGUCAAAGAAACACCCGUGCUCUCCGGAGGGGCUGAGCUUGAAGAGUAAGGGCAGAAAGUGGCGGGUAUAUGAAUACAAGACAGAUACUGGGUGGUGGCUAAGAGCGUGGGCUGUCUCCUGGCUUUGCCACUGCCUGGCCCCAGGGACUUUGGGCAAGUCACUCCACUGUUUGUGCCUCGGGGUGACCAUGUCUGAAGGGUGGAUAUAGUAGUCCUUGCCUUGUAGUUUUCUGGGGAUCAAGUGGGAUGAUGUAAGUGCCUGACCCAUAGUGAGUGCACAAUACAUAUUAACUAUUCUCAUUAUUAUUAUAUUAAGAUUGGAGUGGAGCUAAUCUGGGAAGCAUCCUAAAGUUAAAACUCUAAGUCUCAGAAGACUUCUAAAUAAACUAGCUGAAAAAAAUGUCAGGUUUGUGGAAAAGAUUCAGGAAAACACUCUUUAAAAAAAUGCCUUAGUUACAACCCACAUGCACCUGCUGGCAGGUGGAGGCAGCAGACGCUUAGUUAGAAUUUCUCAAGAGCAUGCUGAGUUGUACUUCCUCCUGUCUUCUCCCACACGAUUUAAACUUGGAAUCAUGUUCAGAGGGCAGUUAACCAGGGCUGAGUAUGCUGCACUGUCUAGGGUCAUGAAAUGGAGCCAAGCCAACUGGCCUUCUUCGGAACAGUGCAUUUGGACUCCGGCCACUGAGCCAGCCAGCUAAUGACUUGCCAACACAAACAAGCUUCAACAUUCACCGUCAUCUCAGAGAUCUGGUGAGCUUUAGAGGGCCUCAGUUCUCUGAUAGUGCUUGGUAAUCUAUAAAGUGCUUUUAAUUGAGAAGUAUUAUCAGUGUUCCGUUAAGCUCUUUGCCCAGGUCUCUGUCUCUGAAGAAUGUGACAAGAAACAAAUGCA